rnacentral:lncRNA from 1 species
UAAACAAUUUCUUGUCCUUCAUCUACUCCAUUGGAGGAUGAGGAAGAGUUUCUUCCACUUCAGUAUCAAAAGCAUUGAUUCUGAUCAUUUGAGAUUUAAAGAAAAUGCUAUCAACACCAAUUGUCGAUAUUAUUAGUUGUCAAAUCGGUUGCAUUUGCUGUUCUUCGGGUUGAACUACUGAAUAUUUAUUUAUUUUUCUUUAAAUUUUAUUUAUGUUAGUAAAUCCUAUUAAUGAGAAUUCAAUGAUGUUUGUAAUCCUAACAGCUAUGAGUCGUGGUUGUUAAUUAUAGUAAGUUUUUUUGGGAGGAUCGACCAACGCUCUUUUGUGAGAUUGGUAUAACUCUUUUUGGAACAACAUUUCUCUUUGUUAGGAGGAUUGCAAGUGUAAUACCAGACAUUUGAAUUUCCUUUUGGCUUCUUUCUUCUU